UGUGCCUACGGGGGGCAGCAGUGGGGGAUAUUGCACAAUGGGGGGAACCCUGAUGCAGCGACGCCGCGUGGGUGAAGAAGUAUUUCGGUAUGUAAAGCCCUAUCGGCAGGGAAGAAAUUGGACGGUACCUGACUAAGAAGCCCCGGCUAACUACGUGCCAGCAGCCGCGGUAAUACGUAGGGGGCAGGCGUUAUCCGGAUUCACUGGGUGUAAAGGGAGCGUAGACGGCGAUGCAAGUCUGAAGUGAAAGGCGGGGGCCCAACCCCCGGACUGCUUUGGAAACUUGAUGGCUGG
rnacentral:rRNA from 1 species